UACGUAGGGGCUAGCGUUGUCCGGAUUUAUUGGGCGUAAAGAGCGUGUAGGCGGUCAGGUAGGUCCGUUGUGAAAACUCGAGGCUCAACCUCGAGACGCCGAUGGAAACCAUCUGACUAGAGUCCGGAAGAGGAGAGUGGAAUUCCUGGUGUAGCGGUGAAAUGCGCAGAUAUCAGGAAGAACACCCGUGGCUAAGGCGGCUCCUCUAGUACGGUACUGACGCUGAGACGCGAAAGCGUGGGGAGCGAACAGG
rnacentral:rRNA from 1 species